ensembl:snRNA U6 U6 spliceosomal RNA
AUGCUCAUUUCAGCAGCACAUAUACUAAAAAUUGGAAUGAUACAGAGAUUACCAGGGCUCCUUGGCAAGGAUGACAUGUCAAUUCAUGGAGCAUUCCAUAUUUUU